UGGCUGGCUUGGCUUCGUGCCAAUUCAAAGCCGCAAGCAACUUCUGGAUCCUUGUUCGUUCCGGAGAGGACACAAAGGCCUUUCUCGGAGUGCGUCGGUCGAUUCGAGUUUAGGAAGUCUGUAUCAUCAAGAAAAAACUGCAGGUGGCUGGAAGCUGCCGAUCAGCUGCCAGUCUGGAUAGUAGCCAUCAACUCAGCAAAGGCCUGCAGGCGAAUCAGCCCAACCUGUUUCUCUGCUGCCUUUCAAGACAGGAUGCUUUGUGAAAAGUGAAACGGGGCCCACGCACCGCUUCCGCAGGACCCUGCUGGUAUUUAUCUGACCUUUUGUUUUCCUAAACAAAUAACACCAUUACAAACUGUAAUAUACCGAGCAAUUGCCCACUCUAAAUUGGGCAUGACCAUGGAGAGCUGGGGGAUAGGGUAGGUAAUAAAGCAAAGGUGUACAUGGUCGGGUGAUCCCUUGGUCUGACCACGGAAUUACAAACAGCUGCCAUUUGCAAAGCUGGUUGACUGUGCAAACACGUAAAAACAAACCGUCUGUUUUUGUUUUUUUUUCUUUUUUUUUUAUUACAAAUUAACAUCCUAAAGAAUGGUUGCUUAGCAUUUGCUUGUUCUUGUUAUAAAGCCUUAAAUUUAUUCUUCCGAGUUCGAACAACAAAGCAACCCAUCUUUUUUUGGGCACAACUUUCUUUGGCAAUGAAGAGAAAACUAGGGAAGGGGGAGGCAGGCAGUGCCAAUGGCUCUGUGUUAGUGCACCAAAUAGUUAUCGUUUUUUGUUUGUUUUUUUUGUCUCGGUUUCAGUUAGGGUUUUGGCGUGUCAACCACGCAGUUGCUUCAGUGCAUGUUUUUGUACGAGGAUUGCGGUUGAGGGAGCUGAACCGCGAUCGCCGAGCAUGCAGGCAUAUUCAGAUCUAUUUCUGAAGGCUUCACCCGUUUUUAAGCGUAAGCCAACACUUUGACUGAAGCACUCGGACAGACUUGCAAGGUAGAUUUCACCGUGGUCAAUCUCCUAGAAUUUAAUUUGUCUCUCAGCUGACGAAGAUAGGCAGUGUCGAAUCAGGAAAAGCUGCAAACUUCAUGAUAGUAGAUAAGCGCCGGGAAAAUACCUAGACAAAAAUUUGACGUGAACACUGGCGUACCGGCAACUAACAUUUAUUAAAAACAAAAUUUCUGAUAUAGUAAGUGGUAAGGAUGCAGAUUUGUGGUAAUGAACUGUCCUCUCAUAUUGAUAUCUUUUCAGAUAUAUCAGUGUUUAGAAGGGAGCUAAAUUUUUAUCUUUAAUUCGUGAUUGCAUGCUAGUCUGUUCUUUUUUACGAGUGGAAGACAUUGUGUUAAGUCAUGUACUACCAUUUUAUAUGCCACCACACUAUGACCUAGUGGUCGUUCUGGGGCAUGAUUCAAAUAAAACAUUAUUAUUAUUAUUAUUAUAGCUGUGAAAAACGUCAGUCAUGACUACAACUGGUCAACCCUCUAUCAAAAAAUUAAUUCUUUUGCCGAUAAGGUUAUGGAUGUGUCACUUGUACACCUGGUGCCUUUGGCUUUAAUCUUAAACGCCUGGUGCAGCUCUCUAGAUUCUUUAUCUGGAUAUCUGGCCAAAAAUUUGGUGUCUUUAAACGACUGGGAGCAAAAGCAGCGUCUGCAGUGUGUGGCCAGAUGUCGUGAUGGAGAUCGCUUGUGUGGCCACCUCGCGUUCGCGGGCGCAAUCAUUAAUACAUAGGCCUGUCUGACCUGUGUACACAGAGCCAUAUGACAUUGUGAUUCCGUACACAACUUUGGUUGUGCAUUCUGUGCAUUUUUUGCAGUGUUUAGUUUUGCAUUUGUCUUUUCCAAGGGCCACUGCUGCAGCGACAACACACAUCAGCUGCUGCCCUUGUUUCCCGUCAUUUAAUGACACCAAAUUUUUGGCCAGAUACCCAGAUAAAAUGUCUAGAAAAAGCUACACGAGGUGUUUGAGAUUAUAGCCGAAGGCACGAGUUGUACAAGUGACACAUCCAUAACCUUAUCAGCAAAAGAAUAUGAAUUUCUUGAUAGAGGUCUACAUUGGUUGUAAUCAUGAUUGACAUUUUUCACAGCAAUGUAACAGAUUGUUUUUUUUUUCAAUAAUGUUAGUUGCGAGUGCGCCAGUGGCAACUUCUUGACCCUGUCUAUUUUUUUGGCGCUUGUCAAUGAUCAUGAACCACCUGACCCAAAUUGCCACAUGAACGAAUUUCAUGAGUGCUGCCGCGUUUUGAGGUCAGUUAUCUGUAAACUCUUCUGGUGCUGAAAAACUAUUGCGCGGGAGGAAUAUACAGAAAUAGAAGCACGCACACUCCACGACGCGAAGUCGCAUUCCAUUUUAAUCGCAUUCAGUUAUGGCUGGCCCUAGGGGGUCGCUGGCACACCACAGCUCAGAAUAUCUGUAGCAAGGAUUGCGCUGCAGAACCCAGGGGUCCUGAGCUCCGUCCCCAACCCUGCUCACACACACCAGUGAGCUUGCUAGCCAACCCGCAUACGGAAACAACUAGGAGUCCCGGUUCCCACUGUCCCAUUUGUCAUACACGUUGCACACCACUUGCUUGGUUUGUUUUAAGAUUUCUUGGUUGCCAAACUUCAUAAAAAUCUUACAUGUCAAACAAAGGGGCGAACUCACAGAGUGUGCCUGCAAUAAACCACACUGAUGAUGCGCAAAGAUGCACAUGAUAAAGAUGCCAUCUUAAUUUUGCAGGGAGCUAGAAAACCUAGGGUGAAUUUAAACCAAGAAAACACAAAAUAGCUAAAAAGGAAAUGCUCUAGGUUUGGCACAUCCUGGCUAAUGUUAUGCUAACAUUCUAAAGUCAAAGCUAAACAGAACAAUUUUACAUAUAUCUUAAUUGGUUACGUUCCACCCAGCAAAUUAUUAUGGUUGAACUAUAUUCAGCUAUGCAGUGAAAUGGUGUCCUUUGGCUCUCUAGCUUUAGCUCCAUUGCCACGGAACGUUGUCCCCAAGUAUAUCACUUUCUAGCUCUUUUCGACUGCUCCCCUCCUAUUCCUCUCCUGCUUUGCUGUUCUACUCGUUCUAUCCCCAUUCUGUCUGCCAGUCGUGGAGAUAAACGCCCAUGGCGACAGGGUGCCUGAUGUCUCUUUCAUAUAUUUUUUUAACUUGCUUAAAAUAGAGGAAUAGGCAUUAAUAUGUCCUUAGAUGAGUUGAUAUGUUUCAAAAGUAGGGGUUGAGCGCUUACUCUGCCGCGGGUGCAUGCCCGGUGUUUUUUGGUAGUUUUAUGGUGUUGUGCGUUACUAGAAUAAGUUGGGCUUUAGUAUAGUUACCGCAUAUGUGUAGAGUAAUUCACGCAGUUGUUAAUGGCCGUUAGUACCUAACUCAACCCUGUGCAGGGUGUCUAUGAGCUGAAAAUUGGUAUUGUUGAGAAAUUCGGCAAUUGGAAAAGUCUCAAGAUUUCCAGCCUAAUCAGUAUCGAUCAGGGAAUUUCAGCCUUCCUUUCUCUGAAUGUAAGCAAAAGACACGUGUGGUGUGGCACAUGCACCUUCCUCCUACUCAGCAACUCGGCCGGCCUGCCAACGUAAAUCUUUGCUGGAAACUAGAGUCUUGGUAGAAUCCAGAGAUGCAACUUCAUCUCGAAAUGUAUUUACAAGGCAAACUUCUAUACUCUCAACGAACUGCUGCUGCUUAUGGCAGAUUUGUGGAAUGGCUUCAUAGUGCGAGAGUUUGUCUCUAUAGCUACCCUAGUUGCUCCUGAAUAAACUUCUAGGGGAUCUUUUCCGGGCUGUGAACAUCAUGACAGUUGAGGUAGUUUCUGCUGGAAAAGGGAGGGGGGCAGAGAGGGUAUCCCUCAGCUUGACAGUCCAUAGAAGCUUUGUCAGCCAGGAUUUUGAAUGUUGCGAGGACAAUGACAGCUGUGUUAGCUCAUAUAUUUUUUGCCAGAAGUUGUAUGACUAACUGCCAGGAUUGCAACAUCCAACAGCACGACAUGCCAGCUCCUGUGGUGUCAUUUAAUUUUGUCGCUUAGAGACCACUUUUGGUACAUGGGUUAUAUAGAACACUAAACGAACCAGUUGGAGGCGCAUUCCAGGCACCAUAACGUAGCCUCUGCUGCUGAGAUGUUCUUAUUGCAGGUAUAAUUUCCGAUUCUGUUUUUUUUUUGUUUUUCAGUGGGAGCUCAUGGAGGUGGCACGGUGCAUGGAAGGACAGAGUGGCUGACAGUGAGCUGCCCAAGCAAGCUGCUGGCUCUUGUGACCGUCUCCGAAAGCCUCUGGAUGGGCUAAAUUACAGACGUGCCUGGACAUUUAUAAAUGGUGCUGCUAUCCAGCUCUACGUCACAGCCAUGAAGUGGCCAUGGGGUGAACUAUGUACAACUGCUGUCAUUAGUACUCGGAUCGGCAGAGCCACCUACUAGCUGUGAAGCCCAGUUGCCAGGCAGCAGAUACUCGACCAGCAACCAGCCUUUGUCGCUCUAGUGGGACACGAGAGCGACAAACAGAAACAAACGACAGCUACAAGCCUCCAACCGAUUCAGCAUGCCCGUGGUGGUACUUUUGGCAGGCGGCGUUUAUUCGUUCGGUGCUCGUGAAAUAAGCAUGAGUGAUUCUAAGCCUGCCAAAGAUACCCUCGCGUGCAUGAUGCUUGUGUUUAAGCAUAGCCUCCUUUAUUCUACAAAGCCUGUCAAAUCGGGAAAGACUCAGGUUUGAGACUUGUCGUCAUUUGUUUCUGUUUGUCGCUGUGGUGGAACUCGGGCAUAAGCUAGCACCAUGUACUGAACAUGAAAUAAAAAACCACUGUAUCAAACUUGA